GAAAACCCAUACUGUAAAGACUAGAUUUGGGACUAAAGACAAACAACGUUACGGUUCUCAUAAUAUAUUAUUGGAUAUUAUUAUUCGUUAAUAAACUAUAUACUGACUGAGGACAUGUAUAAAGACUUGGCUGUUAAUUCAAACUUGCUGGACCGGAUGGAUAAAUCAGACCUUCCGUGUUUCAUGAGGGCGGGGAAGACGAUUCCUGGGUUGUUUUCCGACGAGGCAAAAGGACAACCAAUUACGGAGUUUAUCGCCCUUCGAGCAAAGUGUUACUCUUACAUUUUGAGCUAAAAGGAGAAAAUAAAGGCUAAAGGCGUCCGAGGGCAUGUGGUUUUAAAUCAUACGACUUUCAAAAAUCAUUUGGGUUGCCUUUUCGCCGAUGACGAAAAAGAUAAAACUAUAAACUAUAUACUAACGAAAAUGUAUCCAUUCACAUUCAACCAUGAGAUCGAACAAACAAAUCCGAACAAUUUUGUUUCAACCUACAAGAUGAUAAGCGGAUAGCACAGACCGAUAAAAUACAUACUUACGCUCAUGGACACUUUAAAGUCGUUUGCUAAUUGUAUUUAAAAAAAAAAAACUAUACACAAUACACAUAAAUAUUAAGUGUACAUGUUUGUGAAUUAUAUUUAAUUUUAUAAAUUGUUUAGGUUAAUUUAUUUGUAAUUUGUGAAAUAUCUUUGUAGAUAUUAAAUUGCUUAAGCAAUGAAGUCUCUUACCUUAAUUUAAAUCUCUUUAUUAUUAUUAUUGAUAUAUUAUUUUCAUUUCCCCACAUGUGCAAUUCUCUACACUUUAAACUCUGAAUUAACAUACAGUAUAAAGGCACAUGUAUGCUAGAACAGUAGCAGUAUACUCUCAUGGCAUCCUACUAUAUAAUAUUGUAAUUUUUGUUUGAAUUAACAUUAACUUACCAGUUACCAUGGAAUUCUGAGAUGUGUACUGUUUAUAGAAACUAUAAAAAAAAAAUAUGUGUAUAUAAGACUCCUAAUUUUGUGAAAAC